rnacentral:rRNA from 1 species
AUGAACGCUGGCGGCGUGCCUCAUACAUGCAAGUCGAGCGAACGGACGAGAAGCUUGCUUCUCUGAUGUUAGCGGCGGACGGGUGAGUAACACGUGGAUAACCUACCUAUAAGACUGGGAUAACUUCGGGAAACCGGAGCUAAUACCGGAUAAUAUUUUGAACCGCAUGGUUCAAAAGUGAAAGACGGUCUUGCUGUCACUUAUAGAUGGAUCCGCGCUGCAUUAGCUAGUUGGUAAGUUAACGGCUUACCAAGGCAACGAUGCAUAGCCGACCUGAGAGGGUGAUCGGCCACACUGGAACUGAGACACGGUCCAGACUCCUACGGGAGGCAGCAGUAGGGAAUCUUCCGCAAUGGGCGAAAGCCUGACGGAGCAACGCCGCGUGAGUGAUGAAGGUCUUCGGAUCGUAAAACUCUGUUAUUAGGGAAGAACAUAUGUGUAAGUAACUGUGCACAUCUUGACGGUACCUAAUCAGAAAGCCACGGCUAACUACGUG